rnacentral:lncRNA from 1 species
AUGUUCUUAUGAAUAUGGUAGGUGGAGCAAGGGAUCCAGGUUCUUAUGAUACAUGAUAAAACAUCUCUAUACCAGAUAGUGAAUGUUUCUAACAAGAAUGGCAAAUUCUUAUUGUGAGAGAGAUAAGGGCAUUCAAGUGUUAAUUCAAGAGAAAUACGUAUAUGGUUCUUUAAAUGAUUUAUUUACUAACAGCAUUAAGUAUGGUGUAAAGGAAUUUACAUACCCUAAUUCUCGUCUAUCAAUAAGAUCAAUUAAACAGUUGAACAUUUGAAAAGAAGAAACAUGAAAAUGAAUUUCUAAUUGUACAGUAUUGAAUACAUGAAAGUUCCCUUAAACUUACUCCAGAGUCUCAAUAAACAUGGUAAGUAUGUAAUAAUUCACAUUUACAACCGCCAUAAAAACCCUAUCAACCAAAUUAUUUUAUGACGUCAAAAUUAUCUGAAAAAAAUUGAGGAACUAAAAUUUUUAAAAAUAGGUUCUCAGUUACAGCUGUCUAUUAAAAGGAUAAAUUUUAAACUCUCUGGAGCUGGCCUUCCUGGUUCCAGGAGCAGCCUGUUGGCCUUCUCUCGCAAAGCUCAGUUCCUUUCCUCCAUUCCAGAAGACCCUCAAGCCUGCCCCAUGCACCUGGUUUUACAUUUUUAAAUGUUAAAAGGAAGACCACCGUGAAAGAUUGGCAUGUUAAUAGUAGGCUAAGGCGACAGGUGCUGGGGCUCCAGCUUAGAGAUCCCCACAGAUUCCAUGCUCCCAGGGCUGGCUGCAACCAUCUGCCCCCACCCACCCCCACCUGGCCCAGCCCUCCCCUCCUGGAGGUGGAAUCGUGGCUUGCACAAUCCCCGCUGGGCCCCUGGAGGAGGCGCACCAUAUUGAUUUUUUGGACUUCGUUUCUGUGUGUCUCACCAGUCUUUGCCGGGCACGGUGACUCACUGGCGUCCCUUUCAGGACUUUCUCCUGCCUGAUAACAUCUAAAUGACUCAUGCCGACACCACCUGGAGAGCUCAGGGAAGGCACGGUUUGUUCAGGCCACCCUCACUCCAAGGGCCAGCCCUUUUUUGGAAUAGAAACUAAAAGUUGGUAGCUUCCAUUUGUAGUUCCAUCUAACAGAAGAGCCGACCCACUCACAUUAGCUGGCUCACGACUAAAGCAACCAAUGCCUCCCAGAACAUAGACUCA